rnacentral:rRNA from 1 species
CGGACGGGUGAGUAACGCGUGAGAAUCUGGCUUCAGGUCUGGGACAACCACUGGAAACGGUGGCUAAUACCGGAUGUGCCGAAAGGUGAAAGGUUAACUGCCUGAAGAUGAGCUCGCGUCUGAUUAGCUAGUUGGAAGUGUAAUGGACUCCCAAGGCGACGAUCAGUAGCUGGUCUGAGAGGACGAUCAGCCACACUGGGACUGAGACACGGCCCAGACUCCUACGGGAGGCAGCAGUGGGGAAUUUUCCGCAAUGGGCGAAAGCCUGACGGAGCAAUACCGCGUGAGGGAGGAAGGCUCUUGGGUCGUAAACCUCUUUUCUCAGGGAAGAACACAAUGACGGUACCUGAGGAAUAAGCAUCGGCUAACUCCGUGCCAGCAGCCGCGGUAAUACGGAGGAUGCAAGCGUUAUCCGGAAUGAUUGGGCGUAAAGCGUCCGCAGGUGGCAAUGUAAGUCUGCUGUUAAAGAGUCUAGCUCAACUAGAUACAAGCAGUGGAAACUACAUAGCUAGAGUACGUUCGGGGCAGAGGGAAUUCCUGGUGUAGCGGUGAAAUGCGUAGAGAUCAGGAAGAACACCAGUGGCGAAGGCGCUCUGCUAGGCCGUAACUGACACUGAGGGACGAAAGCUAGGGGAGCGAAUGGGAUUAGAUACCCCAGUAGUC